rnacentral:rRNA from 1 species
AAAUUGAAGAGUUUGAUCAUGGCUCAGAUUGAACGCUGGCGGCAGGCCUAACACAUGCAAGUCGAACGGUAACAGGAAUCAGCUUGCUGAUUCGCUGACGAGUGGCGGACGGGUGAGUAAUGUCUGGGAAACUGCC